AAUAGAUACCCGGGUAGUCCACCCCGUAAACGUUGGGAACUAGUUGUGGGGUCCUUUCCACGGAUUCCGUGACGCAGCUAACGCAUUAAGUUCCCCGCCUGGGGAGUACGGCCGCAAGGCUAAAACUCAAAGGAAUUGACGGGGACCCGCACAAGCGGCGGAGCAUGCGGAUUAAUUCGAUGCAACGCGAAGAACCUUACCAAGGCUUGACAUACACCAGAACACCCUAGAAAUAGGGGACUCUUUGGGCACUGGUGAACAGGUGGUGCAUGGUUGUCGUCAGCUCGUGUCGUGAGAUGUUGGGUUAAGUCCCGCAACGAGCGCAACCCUCGUUCUAUGUUGCCAGCACGUAAUGGUGGGAACUCAUGGGAUACUGCCGGGGUCAACUCGGAGGAAGGUGGGGAUGACGUCAAAUCAUCAUGCCCCUUAUGUCUUGGGCUUCACGCAUGCUACAAUGGCCGGUACAAAGGGCUGCAAUACCGUGAGGUGGAGCGAAUCCCAAAAAGCCGGUCCCAGUUCGGAUUGAGGUCUGCAACUCGACCUCA
rnacentral:rRNA from 1 species